rnacentral:rRNA from 1 species
AGAGUUUGAUCAUGGCUCAGAUUGAACGCUGGCGGCAUGCCUUACACAUGCAAGUCGAACGUGAAAGGGGGCAACCCCGAGUAGAGUGGCGAACGGGUGAGUAAUACAUCGGAACAUUUCCUGUAGCGGGGGACAACCUCGAGAAAUCGAGGCUAAUACCGCAUACGAUCUUCGGAUGAAAGUGGGGGACCGCAAGGCCUCACACUAUAGGAGUGGCCGGUGUCGGAUUAGCUAGUUGGCGGGGUAAAAGCCCACCAAGGCGACGAUCCGUAGCUGGUCUGAGAGGACGACCAGCCACACUGGGACUGAGACACGGCCCAGACUCCUACGGGAGGCAGCAGUGGGGAAUUUUGGACAAUGGGCGCAAGCCUGAUCCAGCCAUGCCGCGUGAGUGAAGAAGGCCUUCGGGUUGUAAAGCUCUUUCGGCCGGGACGAAAUCGCGCGGGCGAAUAUCCCGCGUGGAUGACGGUACCGGAAGAAGAAGGACCGGCUAACUACGUGCCAGCAGCCGCGGUAAUACGUAGGGUCCGAGCGUUAAUCGGAAUUACUGGGCGUAAAGCGUGCGCAGGCGGUUCGCAAAGACAGGUGUGAAAUCCCCGGGCUUAACCUGGGAACUGCGCUUGUAACUAGCGGGCUAGAGUGCGGCAGAGGGGGGUGGAAUUCCACGUGUAGCAGUGAAAUGCGUAGAGAUGUGGAGGAACACCGAUGGCGAAGGCAGCCCCCUGGGUUAGCACUGACGCUCAUGCACAAAAGCGUGGGGAGCAAACAGGAUUAGAUACCCCGGUAGUCC